rnacentral:rRNA from 1 species
AGUGAACGCUGGCGGUAGGCCUAACACAUGCAAGUCGAACGGCAGCACAGUAAGAGCUUGCUCUUACGGGUGGCGAGUGGCGGACGGGUGAGGAAUACAUCGGAAUCUACUUUUUCGUGGGGGAUAACGUAGGGAAACUUACGCUAAUACCGCAUACGACCUACGGGUGAAAGCAGGGGAUCUUCGGACCUUGCGCGAUUGAAUGAGCCGAUGUCGGAUUAGCUAGUUGGCGGGGUAAAGGCCCACCAAGGCGACGAUCCGUAGCUGGUCUGAGAGGAUGAUAAGCCACACGGGAACUGAGACACGGUCCAGACGCCUACGGGAGGCAGCAGUGGGGAAUAUUGGACAAUGGGCGCAAGCCUGAUCCAGCCAUACCGCGUGGGUGAAGAAGGCCUUCGGGUUGUAAAGCCCUUUUGUUGGGAAAGAAAAGCAGCAGGUUAAUACCCCGCUGUUCUGACGGUACCCAAAGAAUAAGCACCGGCUAACUUCGUG